rnacentral:rRNA from 1 species
UCGGGAAUUUUGGGCAAUGGGCGAAAGCCUGACCCAGCAACGCCGCGUGAAGGAUGAAGUAUUUCGGUAUGUAAACUUCGUAAGAAUAGGAAGAAUAAAUGACGGUACUAUUUGUAAGGUCCGGCUAACUACGUGCCAGCAGCCGCGGUAAUACGUAGGGACCAAGCGUUGUUCGGAUUUACUGGGCGUAAAGGGCGCGUAGGCGGUGUGUCAAGUCAGUUGUGAAAUCUCCGAGCUUAACUCGGAACGGUCAACUGAUACUGUCACACUAGAGUACAGAAGGGGCAAUCGGAAUUCUUGGUGUAGCGGUGAAAUGCGUAGAUAUCAAGAGGAACACCUGAGGCGAAGGCGGGUUGCUGGGCUGAUACUGACGCUGAGGCGCGAAAGCUAGGGUAGCAAACGGGGAUUAGAUACCCAGGUAGUCCCUGAGCGGGCUGGCAAGGCGCAU